rnacentral:rRNA from 1 species
UACGCUCUUCGGAGGAAAGAUUUAUCGCCAAAGGAUCGGCCCGCGUUGGAUUAGGUAGUUGGUGGGGUAAUGGCCUACCAAGCCGACGAUCCAUAGCUGGUUUGAGAGGAUGAUCAGCCACACUGGGACUGAGACACGGCCCAGACUCCUACGGGAGGCAGCAGUGGGGAAUCUUAGACAAUGGGGGCAACCCUGAUCUAGCCAUGCCGCGUGAGUGAUGAAGGCCCUAGGGUUGUAAAGCUCUUUCAGCUGGGAAGAUAAUGACGGUACCAGCAGAAGAAGCCCCGGCUAACUCCGUGCCAGCAGCCGCGGUAAUACGGAGGGGGCUAGCGUUGUUCGGAAUUACNGGGCGUAAAGCGCGCGUAGGCGGAUCAGCAAGUUAGGGGUGAAAUCCCGGGGCUCAACCCCGGAACUGCCUCUAAAACUGUUGGUCUUGA